rnacentral:lncRNA from 1 species
UUUCUCAAAAGCUGGGCUGCUCAGAGACCACGAGGGCCGAUCUCAGAAAUCGAAGAGGCACCUACUUUUCCAGCCUUGUCAGCACCUGUCACACGCACACUCAGCUUUGCGGAAAUUAUGGGCAUUCUGUCGAAGAUUUCUGGCGAAGUAGAAAGCACAUGAAUCGUACUGUUCAAUCACCCACUUCCCACACGCAACAGUAACUCAUGGGUACCACAGAUAACUUUGCCAAAGUUCUCUGACAAAGUUGAGACACGUGAAGCUUGCAGCUCCCGCUACAUCGCUCUGACCAAGAAGAGUAAAAGAAUUGCAAAGAAACAACACUAACAAAGUUUAGACACAUAAAUUUUGAAGGUCUAGCUACCAUAUUAUUACCCACAAGGGUAAAGGAACAGUACCACUGCUGGAUAAUUGGAAAGUCCCG